rnacentral:misc_RNA from 1 species
UACGUAGGUGUCAAGCGUUGUCCGGAAUUAUUGGGCGUAAAGCGCGCGCAGGCGGUCCUUUAAGUCUGAGGUGAAAGCCCACGGCUCAACCGUGGAGGGUCAUUGGAAACUGAGGGACUUGAGUGCAGAAGAGGAAAGUGGAAUUCCACGUGUAGCGGUGGAAUGCGUAGAGAUGUGGAGGAACACCAGUGGCGAAGGCGUCUUUCUGGUCCGUAACUGACGCUGAGGCGCGAAAGCGUGGGGAGCAAACAGG